GGGGGGAGCAAGCGUUGUUCGGAUUUACUGGGCGUAAAGGGCGCGUAGGCGGCCAUCGCAAGUCAAUUGUGAAAUCUCCGGGCUUAACUCGGAAAGGUCAACUGAUACUGCGAGGCUAGAGUGCGGAAGGGGCAACUGGAAUUCUCGGUGUAGCGGUGAAAUGCGUAGAUAUCGAGAGGAACACCUGCGGCGAAGGCGGGUUGCUGGGCCGACACUGACGCUGAGGCGCGAAAGCUAGGGGAGCGAACGGGAUUAGAUACCCCGGUAGUCCUAGCCUUAAACGAUGAAUGCUUGGUGUCUGGGGUUACAAAGUCCCCGGGUGCCGUCGCUAACGCUUUAAGCAUUCCGCCUGGGGAGUACGGUCGCAAGACUGAA
rnacentral:rRNA from 1 species